rnacentral:sRNA from 1 species
AUUCUACCCAUGUGGGGAAGGAUGAGAAGCUUCGACUAAGGUUCGAUUCGAGCGCAGCGAGAAAGCGUUGCCGCAGGCAAC